rnacentral:tRNA from 2 species
GGCCCCAUCGUCCAGCGGUUAGGACAGCGGCCUCUCACGCCGUAAACAUGAGUUCGAUUCUCAUUGGGGUCACCA